ensembl:lncRNA
GUGUCUUGCCCAAGGACACAACGACCAGGACAGAGAGCCCGGGGAUCGAACCGGUGACCUUCCGGUUACAGAUAUGCUUCCCAAACCCCCUGAGCCACGGUCGCAAGGGGAGGUGUGACAUCUGUCACAUUGGUCUAUAAUUGAAGGAAACUUUAAACUGUAUAAGCUGUAGCCUAGCACAUGGUGUACUUGAACGCAUGAUGAGAUUCACCUUAUCCCACCAUGAUUCAAACAGUUCAACACCUAAUUCAUGCUCCCAGGCGGUUCUGAUUUUACCUGAUGGAUUAGAUUCGGUCACCAUAAGCAUACAAUAUAUAUUUGAUAGAGGUGAUUUUUGAUUAGGCGUAACAGCCAGAAGGUCAACCCAUGAUGGAUCAGCAGGGAGAAUUGGGGAAUUUGGAAACAGUGAUGAGACACAGUCUAAUUUGCAAAUAGAGAAGGGGCCUGUAGGACUCACAGGCCGUAUGCUCUUUGCCUUUCUUCAGUAAAACUGAAAUAGAUGCCUUCGUUAAAGUGGGGGGCAGCCAGCCUUUUCUCAGUGAUUCAUUAUAUAGAUCAAGAAGGAGAGGGGCUAGCUUGUCUUUAAAUUUUUUUAACAACUCAGCUGGAAAUCUGUCGGAGCCUGGGGCCUUACCGCUCGCAUACACUUGAUUGAGCCAAAAACGUCCUCUAUUUUAAUAGGAGCGUCGAGCUGCAAUUUUUUUUUUUUUUUUUAAAGUGAACAUAUAAGGAGAAGCGUCCACCAAGUAUUUCCUGCCAUGGCAUCCACGUCACCAUGGUAAUGGCACAGCCAGAUAACAGCAUGAGAUUUCAAAACAUAUGUACAUUUAACGAGUUACUUUUAAUGAACCUCAACAUAAUUACUUUUAUAAUUCUUUGUUAUUUAUCAGACUCCUGAAUAGUAUGAGUUUUGUUUUGCUCAGACUCAGUGUUAACUGAUUAUAGAAAUAACCGAGAACUCAGUUAAAUUGAUUUUCUAGUUCAUUCAGAAGUUGUUCCAAGUUACUUCCACAAUAACUUUGUGUCAUUUGCACAUAAUAUGCCUUCUGUGUCUUUGAAAUUACUUCAAAUCAAGACAUGUUAACACAGAAACCUUUAUUUAUCUCUCAUGGCCCUGGUGCCAUCUGUCUGCAUUGACCUGAUAAUUAAUCAGAGGUAGCAGGGUGUGAUACAGGAACUCUAAAAGACACAUUAGCGUAUGUUUAGUGGUCACUGGGUGAACUGGGUGCGUCUCUAAUUCUGAAUGAGCCAGAGGAGGCCAUAUCCAUGUGUCCGUGGGUUUAUGACGAGUGUUGUUGUGGAUCGUUAGCCUUGCUAUUGUUUACAUCGACUUAUGUGGGUGUUUUAGUGUCAGAGACUUUUACAAUGUAGAGGUGCAUUUCAAAGGUGAAAGCUACCAUGUG